AUNNNAAAUAAAUUUUUUAUGAUUUAUAAAAUUUUUUUAAAAUUUAUUUUACAUAUAAAUUUUAGUGYAARUUUUUAWAUAUUUUAAAAAUAUUUWAUUUUAUUAAAUUAGUAAUUAAYAUUAAAAAUUUAAGAAAUUAAKAUUUAGUAAUAUUAAAAUUAAUAACAAAUUUUGUGCCAGCAGUUGCGGUUAUACAAAAGUUAAAUUAAAUUUUAUUAGUAAUAAUUAAUAUAAAAUAAUUUAAUUUAAAUAUUMAAUUAAUAAGUGAAAUUUUAAUUUAAUUAAAAAUUAUAAUAAAAAUUGUAUGAUUUAAUAAAUUUUAAUAUAAACUAGGAUUAGAUACCCUAUUAUUAAAAAUUUAAAUUUAAAAUACUAAAAUAGUAAAUAAUUAUUUAUUUAAACUUAAAUAAUUUGGCGGUAUUUUAGUUCAUUUAGAGGAAUCUGUUUAUUAAUUGAUAAUCCACGAAUAAUUUUACUUAAUUUAUAAUUUUGUAUAUCGUUGUUAAAAAAAUAUUUUUAAAUAAAUUUAAUAUUUUAAAAUUUAAAAAGAAAAUUAAAUCAGAUCAAGAUGCAGAUAAUAAUUAAGAAUAUAAUGGAUUACAAUAAAUUUAUUUAUAUGAACAUUAAAUUGAAAAAUUUAAUUGAAAGUGGAUUUAAAUGUAAUUUUAUUUAAUUUAAUAAAAUGAUUUUAAAUUAAAAUAUGUACAUAUUGCCCGUCGCUUUCAUUAAUAAGUUGAAAUAAGUCGUAACAAAGUAGAGGUACUGGAAAGUGUUUCUAGAAAGAA
rnacentral:ncRNA from 1 species